rnacentral:rRNA from 1 species
AUUGAACGCUGGCGGCAUGCUUCACACAUGCAAGUCGAACGGUAACAGGUUAAGCUGACGAGUGGCGAACGGGUGAGUAAUGCAUCGGAACGUGCCCGGUCGUGGGGGAUAACACUUCGAAAGAAGUGCUAAUACCGCAUACGAUCUAAGGAUGAAAGCGGGGGACUGUAAGGCCUCGCGCGAUCGGAGCGGCCGAUGUCAGAUUAGGUAGUUGGUGGGGUAAAGGCCUACCAAGCCGACGAUCUGUAGCUGGUCUGAGAGGACGACCAGCCACACUGGGACUGAGACACGGCCCAGACUCCUACGGGAGGCAGCAGUGGGGAAUUUUGGACAAUGGGCGCAAGCCUGAUCCAGCAAUGCCGCGUGCAGGAAGAAGGCCUUCGGGUUGUAAACUGCUUUUGUACGGAGCGAAAAGGCUCUCUCUAAUACAGGGGGCUGAUGACGGUACCGUAAGAAUAAGCACCGGCUAACUACGUGCCAGCCGCCGCUGUAA